rnacentral:lncRNA from 1 species
AUGGAAACAACAGAGAGAAAUAACAGCCUAUACAUCUCCAAAUUGGGCAGAUACCAAUAUCCAGACUUGACCAGCACUGGGAAGUCCCAUGUAACAGCAUUCUGGGGUCUUAAUUGGGAAAGGGUUCCAGGCGGUGUAUUCACCCCACAGGCCAAACUUCAGACUGCAGCUUUAGGUGCUCCUGCUUAUAAUUCCAGGUUGGGUACAUCAGGUUGUAUUCAGGUAUACACUGCAUACACCAGGUUAGAAACACUGAUGUUUCCAAGCUGUGCCUCUGAAAAGUGAUCUUCGGUUCCACUCUGUUUCUCAGAUCAUAAAAGAGUGUAAAAAAAAUUAACUCUCAAGUUUGUGAAACUGGUUAUUCUCUUCUUUUUCCAUGUCUGCGUUUCCUCCCCUUGCCUCUUUCAAAAGAAAGGUAUACCCAAACAUCUUUAAUUUUCUAAAAGUUUUGCUUUAAUACAGAACCAGAAUCCUUCAUUUCAUUUUUCUCUGUGUGGUGAGACAGAACUGAAAUUUUGGGAUCAGUGAGUUAGCAGUGGGUCGUCUGUGCUGAGAUUAUAAAUAUCUCCCACCUGGGUCCCCUGUGAGACCUCCACCGAGGGUUUUCUUGAUGCAUGAAAAAAGCAAUUCAUUUUUAAUUGUCCUUAGAAAUGGUUUUUCUGGUGUAUCAGUUUAGAACAAGCUUGUUUAUCAAAACCCACUGAUCCAAAUAAUUCACAAUCCAACUAAAAUUACUUUUUGAAAUAACAAUGAGAUUUUAAAGGAGGAGGCUUAGUUACAAAGCACCCAUGGGACUGUGAUACUAAGCUUAUAAACAGUGCA